GCCAGAUGUGCUGUGCAUCUGUAAUCCCAGCUACUUGAGAGGCUGUGGCAAGAGGUUGACUUGAGCCCAGGAGUUUGAGGCCAGCCUGGACAAUAAAGAAAAAUCUCAGU
rnacentral:sRNA from 1 species